AUUGUGUUGCUUCUCAGUAUUGUGUUGCUUCUCAGUAUUGUGUUGCUUCUGAUUCUAUGAAUGUUCAUUUUAAGACUCCUUUUUGAAAUGGGACAGUUGGCAGCGGCUCUGGUGAGCCCGAGAAGAGGCCUGCCCUUGGGUGCGGAGCCUCCCUCCGCACGAUGCUCCCACGCGUCCAACUUGCACCCAAGGGGCUUUUCCCUCUUCCAAGUGGACUCCUUCAAGGAAGCUGCAGCUCGGUCAGCAGAGAAGGGGCCUGCCGCCAGCGCCCUGGAGGAAGAGGAAGAGGAACCCAAGAGGAUGGCUUGUCUCCCAGCAGCCACACCGGCUUUGUGCUCAGCCAGUUCAUUUGAGAAUUACAUGAACGACAGCCUUCGCACCGACGUCUUCGUGCGGUUCCAGCCAGAGAGCAUCGCCUGUGCCUGCAUUUAUCUUGCUGCCCGGACGCUGGAGAUCCCUUUGCCCAAUCGUCCCCAUUGGUUUCUUUUGUUUGGAGCAACUGAAGAAGAAAUUCAGGAAAUCUGCUUAAAGAUCUUGCAGCUUUAUGCUCGGAAAAAGGUUGAUCUCACACACCUGGAGGGUGAAGUGGAAAAGAGAAAGCACGCUAUCGAAGAGGCAAAGGCCCAAGCCCGGGGCCUGCUGCCUGGGGGCACACAGGUGCUGGAUGGUACCUCGGGGUUCUCUCCUGUCCCUAAGCUGGCCUGGAGUGCAGUGGCGCUAUCUGGGAUCACUGCAAGCUCCGCCUACGAGAUUCUGGUGAGUCUUGUGCCUCACCCUCCCAAGUAGGUGGGAUUACAGGCGCCCACCACCACAGUCUCGCUCUGUUGCCAGUGGAAUCCCCCAAAGAAGGUAAAGGGAGCAAGCCUUCCCCACUGUCUGUGAAGAACACCAAGAGGAGGCUGGAGGGCGCCAAGAAAGCCAAGGCGGACAGCCCCGUGAACGGCUUGCCAAAGGGGCGAGAGAGUCGAAGUCGGAGCCGGAGCCGUGAACAGAGCUACUCAAGGUCCCCAUCCCGAUCAGCGUCUCCUAAGAGGAGGAAAAGUGACAGCGGCUCCACAUCUGGUGGGUCCAAGUCGCAGAGCCGCUCCCGGAGCCGGAGUGACUCCCCACCGAGACAGGCCCCCCGCAGCGCUCCCUACAAAGGCUCUGAGAUUCGGGGCUCCCGGAAGUCCAAGGACUGCAAGUACCCCCAGAAGCCACACAAGUCUCGGAGCCGGAGUUCUACCCGUUCUCGAAGCAGGUCACGGGAGCGUGUGGAUAAUCCGGGAAAAUACAAGAAGAAAAGUCAUUACUACAGAGAUCAGCGACGGGAGCGCUCGAGGUCAUAUGAACGCACAGGCCGUCGCUAUGAGCGGGACCACCCUGGGCACAGCAGGCAUCGGAGGUGAGGCGGGGUUGCAGUGACUGGCGGCCGCAGGCCCUUCCCUGGGGGGUACCUGAUGGCUGCCCUUUGACCCCUGGGUGUGCUCUCUCAGCGC
rnacentral:sRNA from 1 species